CCUACGGGAGGCUGCAGUAGGGAAUCUUCCGCAAUGGACGAAAGUCUGACGGAGCAACGCCGCGUGAGUGAUGAAGGUUUUCGGAUCGUAAAGCUCUGUUGUUAGGGAAGAACAAGUGCCGUUCGAAUAGGUCGGCACCUUGACGGUACCUAACCAGAAAGCCACGGCUAACUACGUGCCAGCAGCCGCGGUAAUACGCAGGUGGCAAGCGUUGUCCGGAAUUAUUGGGCGUAAAGCGCGCGCAGGCGGUCUUUUAAGUCUGCUGGGAAAGCCCCCGGCUCAACCGGGGAGGGUCAUUGGAAACUGGGGGACUUGAGAACAGAAGAGGAGAGUGGAAUUCCACGUGUAGCGGUGAAAUGCGUAGAUAUGUGGAGGAACACCAGUGGCGAAGGCGACUCUCUGGUCUGUAACUGACGCUGAGGCGCGAAAGCGUGGGGAGCAAACAGGAUUAGAUACCCCUGUAGUC
rnacentral:rRNA from 1 species